AGCAGUAGCCGCGGUAACACGUAGGGUGCAAGCGUUAAUCGGAAUUACUGGGCGUAAAGCGUGCGCAGGCGGUCCGCUAAGACAGAUGUGAAAUCCCCGGGCUUAACCUGGGAACUGCAUUUGUGACUGGCGGGCUAGAGUAUGGCAGAGGGGGGUAGAAUUCCACGUGUAGCAGUGAAAUGCGUAGAGAUGUGGAGGAAUACCGAUGGCGAAGGCAGCCCCCUGGGCCAAUACUGACGCUCAUGCACAAAAGCGUGGGGAGCAAACAGGAUUAGAGACCCCUGUAGUCCCUGUCUCUUAUAC
rnacentral:rRNA from 1 species